GUUCUCCGUAAGAUGGCGGACCGGCGGCGGCAGCGCGCUUCGCAAGACACCGAGGACGAGGAAUCUGGUGCUUCGGGCUCCGACAGCGGCGGCUCCCCGUUGCGGGGAGGCGGGAGCUGCAGCGGUAGCGCCGGAGGCGGCGGCAGCGGUUCUCUGCCUUCACAGCGCGGAGGCCGAACCGGGGCCCUUCAUCUGCGGCGGGUGGAGAGCGGGGGCGCCAAGAGUGCUGAGGAGUCGGAGUGUGAGAGUGAAGAUGGCAUUGAAGGUGAUGCUGUUCUCUCGGAUUAUGAAAGUGCAGAAGACUCGGAAGGUGAAGAAGGUGAAUACAGUGAAGAGGAAAACUCCAAAGUGGAGCUGAAAUCAGAAGCUAAUGAUGCUGUUAAUUCUUCAACAAAAGAAGAGAAGGGAGAAGAAAAGCCUGACACCAAAAGCACUGUGACUGGAGAGAGGCAAAGUGGGGACGGACAGGUUAGUACAUUCCACAGUCCUCCAUUUUAGAGGCUGGAAUAGAGAUUCUUGAGGCUUGGAAGAGUAAGGAUCCCUUUAUCUGUCCUCUAGGAGAGCACAGAGCCUGUGGAGA
rnacentral:sRNA from 1 species